UUCGAAGGGGGCUAGCGUUGUUCGGAAUCACUGGGCGUAAAGCGCACGUAGGCGGAUCGUUAAGUCAGGGGUGAAAUCCCGAGGCUCAACCUCGGAACUGCCUUUGAUACUGGCAAUCUUGAGUCCGGGAGAGGUGAGUGGAACUGCGAGUGUAGAGGUGAAAUUCGUAGAUAUUCGCAAGAACACCAGUGGCGAAGGCGGCUCACUGGCCCGGUACUGACGCUGAGGUGCGAAAGCGUGGGGAGCAAACAGG
rnacentral:rRNA from 1 species